GUUUCCAGCAGAGAGAGAGGAAACUUCUCCCUCAGCGAGGAGCACACAAAGACCAGAAUUUCGACAGUUCCCUCACCUGUUACCAAACCCCAGAGGCUACAGAGUACACAGGGCACGGCAGCUCCGGUGGCAGUCCACUCCAUGAAGAGGGAGGCCUUGACACACAAGAGAAAGAAGUAGUGAAGUCUGAGCAAGGAUCUGCCCCCGGCUCCCUGCACCUGCCUCCUAGAGCUACACAGAUGGUAGGUGCUGGCUCCACCCGGCCUGACACCCAUUAGGGUAUCCAGGACCCACUUGUUACCUCCCCUACCAAUGGUGCCGCUUGAUUUCAUCUAGAACAAUCAACAUCACCACCCCCUGUGGAUUCUGGGAAAAAGACACUGUUUUCCCAUUAUGCAUGUGUGUAUGUAUGCGUGUAUGGGGACAGUGUGAUCACACAGGACCUUCUCUAGCCACCCAUCCGUGAAUGUUGAGAGAAGACCUCUGAAGUCCCCAAGCAAAGCACUCCAAAAGCCACAGAGCUGUCUGCGAGUCACAUGGCCAAACCUACUGGAAGCACCCAGGCAAGGUAAAUAGAAGUCACUUUUCUACACUGAACCCGGUGUGGUCCUCCAUUUCUGAACCUCCAGGGGAGCCUCAAAAGCCCUGGGCCACAAGCCUGUGGCUGCUCAUGUUCCCCAGAGGUUGCCAGGCGAGGUUCAGAGUCCCAGCUGCACCCCACUCAGCCACCCUUGGCCGGGUCUCAGAGGCUACCUACCGCUUUCCUCAAAAGGGCUCCCAUCCCAACACAGAGAGCAGUCCCGGGAAGGUGGCCAGGGACUGGGGAGCGGCAUUCUCUCCGGAGUUCGGCAGCCCAGCAGUUAACAGGCUCGGGCUGGGCAAGCAACGAACUGCCACCAACAACCUCGGGAAUUAAAGCGCCCGCUGCCUCCUGCUGAAACCUCUUCAAUAAACGGUCCUAUUCAGAACC
rnacentral:lncRNA from 1 species